rnacentral:lncRNA from 1 species
GUGACAAAUGUGCACCCAACACCCUACAGAAAAGAAGAACCAUAAAAUAAUUAAUUAUUCCAUUGUAACUCCUGCCUGGAAAACAUCUGAAAGAAGUCACUAGAUUCAGCCCACAUUCAAGAUGAGAAAUACCAGAAGGCAGAGAACACUGAGGCUGUUUUAGAGGCUGUCAACCCCAGGGAGACAGACAGCAAAUAAGAUGCUUGGAUGUUUUCACACCACUCUGACACAUGGAUGGAAGGUUAGAAGACAACAAAGGAAUGGGCUGGGAAGGACUCCAAAAGCAGAAUCAGAGAUUAUAUCAUUCCUUGGAAAUGGAGAAAAGGAUCAAAAAAGCUGAAUAAAAGGCAAACAUGGAGGAACAGAGUUUGGAGCAAUACCCUGACUUACAUUCAGUACUGUUAAUGGCUCCAGCAUCUUGAAACAAACCAAUUUUGGAUUUUCAGUGAAAAAGAAAGCCAACCCAGAAAAUCACUUAGGAAGAUCCAGACAACAGAUGGUACGCCAAAAGUGAACAAUGAUCUCAGUAACUGAGGCCUCAGAGACAAGAUGAUCCAUUCCACAGCUGGAUAUUGUAAAACUUGGGUACCAGUGGUGCGCAGAUCUGACCAUUAAAACUAUGUACUUCUUGAGUCACAAACCAGUGUGUGUGACUGGUUAAAACCCAGUCACAACCUGGAAAAAGUUGUGGAAAGCACCUGGGGACUGAGGAGAAGCAAACUUCCUUAGGUUUACACAGUAUGGCUGGCACCUUAAGCAAGUUAAAAUCGGUCUCAAUUCCCUGCAGAAUAAGGGCAACACCAAUUAUGCUACCUACUUCAUGCAAGAACCUAAAAUGAAAAAUAAAAUUGCUUUUAAAAUGUGCUCCAGCCAAAUAAGCUGGUAUUUUAUGAAAAGGAAUGAUCGCAUUUUU